rnacentral:sRNA from 1 species
AAGAGACCAAUUCAAGCGCCGGAAAAGGGGUGACAGCCGGCCGCGUCCGAUCCGCAUAAGACGGAGUCCGACGCCCCCAGAGUCCGUCCGGGCCUGCCCUAUGC